CUUGACUCUGGGAUAAGCCUGGGAAACUGGGUCUAAUACUGGAUACGACAUGUCACCGCAUGGUGGUGUGUGGAAAGGGUUUUACUGGUUUUGGAUGGGCUCACGGCCUAUCAGCUUGUUGGUGGGGUAAUGGCUCACCAAGGCGACGACGGGUAGCCGGCCUGAGAGGGUGACCGGCCACACUGGGACUGAGACACGGCCCAGACUCCUACGGGAGGCAGCAGUGGGGAAUAUUGCACAAUGGGCGAAAGCCUGAUGCAGCGACGCCGCGUGAGGGAUGACGGCCUUCGGGUUGUAAACCUCUUUCAGCACGGAAGAAGCGAAAGUGACGGUACGUGCAGAAGAAGCGCCGGCUAACUACGUGCCAGCAGCCGCGGUAAUACGUAGGGCGCAAGCGUUGUCCGGAAUUAUUGGGCGUAAAGAGCUCGUAGGCGGUUUGUCGCGUCUGCUGUGAAAGCCCGGGGCUUAACCCCGGGUGUGCAGUGGGUACGGGCAGACUUGAGUGCAGUAGGGGAGACUGGAAUUCCUGGUGUAGCGGUGAAAUGCGCAGAUAUCAGGAGGAACACCGAUGGCGAAGGCAGGUCUCUGGGCUGUUACUGACGCUGAGGAGCGAAAGCAUGGGGAGCGAACAGGAUUAGAUACCCUGGUAGUCCAUGCCGUAAACGUUGGGCMCUAGGUGUGGGGAACAUUCCACGUUUUCCGCGCCGUAGCUAACGCAUUAAGUGCCCCGCCUGGGGAGUACGGCCGCAAGGCUAAAACUCAAAGGAAUUGACGGGGGCCCGCACAAGCGGCGGAGCAUGCGGAUUAAUUCGAUGCAACGCGAAGAACCUUACCAAGGCUUGACAUACACCGGACCGGGCCAGAGAUGGUCUUUCCCCCUUGUGGGGCUGGUGUACAGGUGGUGCAUGGUUGUCGUCAGCUCGUGUCGUGAGAUGUUGGGUUAAGUCCCGCAACGAGCGCAACCCUCGUUCUAUGUUGCCAGCACGUGAUGGUGGGGACUCAUAGGAGACUGCCGGGGUCAACUCGGAGGAAGGUGGGGAUGACGUCAAAUCAUCAUGCCCCUUAUGUCUUGGGCUUCACGCAUGCUACAAUGGCCAGUACAAUGGGUUGCGAUGCCGCGAGGUGGAGCUAAUCCCAAAAAGCUGGUCUCAGUUCGGAUCGUGGUCUGCAACUCGACCACGUGAAGUCGGAGUCGCUAGUAAUCGCAGAUCAGCAACGCUGCGGUGAAUACGUUCC
rnacentral:rRNA from 1 species